rnacentral:rRNA from 1 species
GCAAGUCGAACGCCCCUUCGGGGGAGUGGCAGACGGGUGAGGAACACGUGGGAACCUACCUAGAGGUAAGGAAUAACUUCGGGAAACCGGAACUAAUACCUUAUACGCCCUUAGGGGGAAAGAUUUAUCGCCUUUAGAUGGGCCCGCGUCUGAUUAGCUAGUUGGUGAGGUAAUGGCUCACCAAGGCGACGAUCAGUAGCUGGUUUGAGAGGAUGAUC